AAGUCGUAACAAGGUUUCCGUAGGUGAACCUGCGGAAGGAUCAUUACAAAUUAUUGAAGGUUAGAAUUGAGUGGAGUAAAAAUCCCUCUUUUCGUACCAAAAGUGCUCAGGAUCUAUUUUGAUCCUGUAGACAUUUACGCUUGUUAGUGUUUGACCGAGUUUUUAGUGAAAAAAAAAUAUUGACAACUUUUAACAAUGGAUCUCUUGGCUCUU
rnacentral:misc_RNA from 1 species